rnacentral:rRNA from 1 species
CCUACGGUGUGCAGCAGUGGGGAAUAUUGGGCAAUGGAGGAAACUCUGACCCAGCAACGCCGCGUGAAUGAUGAAGGUCUUCGGAUGGUAAAGUUCUUUUCUAAGGGAAGAAGAAAGUGACGGUAACUUAGGAAUAAGCCUCGGCUAACUACGUGCCAGCAGCCGCGGUAAGACGUAGGAGGCAAGCGUUAUCCGGAAUGACUGGGCGUAAAGGGUGCGUAGGUGGUUUGACAAGUUGGUAGCGUAACUACGAGGCUUAACCUCGGCACUACUACCAAAACUGUUGGACUCGAGUGCAGUAGGGGCAAAUGGAAUUCCUAGUGUAGCGGUGGAAUGCGUAGAUAUUAGGAGGAACAACAGUGGCGAAGGCGAUUUGCUGGACUGUAACUGACACUGAGGCACGAAAGCGUGGGGAGCAAACAGGAUUAGAUACCCUUGUAGUC